AGCGAACGCUGGCGGCAGGCCUAACACAUGCAAGUCGAACGAACCUUUCGGGGUUAGUGGCGGACGGGUGAGUAACACGUGGGAACGUGCCUUUAGGUUCGGAAUAACUCAGGGAAACUUGUGCUAAUACCGAAUGUGCCCUUCGGGGGAAAGAUUUAUCGCCUUUAGAGCGGCCCGCGUCUGAUUAGCUAGUUGGUUGAGGUAAUGGCUCACCAAGGCGACGAUCAGUAGCUGGUCUGAGAGGAUGAUCAGCCACAUUGGGACUGAGACACGGCCCAAACUCCUACGGGAGGCAGCUGUGGGGAAUCUUGCGCAAUGGGCGAAAGCCUGACGCAGCCAUGCCGCGUGAAUGAUGAAGGUCUUAGGAUUGUAAAAUUCUUUCACCGGGGACGAUAAUGACGGUACCCGGAGAAGAAGCCCCGGCUAACUUCGUG
rnacentral:rRNA from 1 species